UACGAAGGGGGCUAGCGUUGCUCGGAAUCACUGGGCGUAAAGGGUGCGUAGGCGGGUCUUUAAGUCAGGGGUGAAAUCCUGGAGCUCAACUCCAGAACUGCCUUUGAUACUGAGGAUCUUGAGUACGGGAGAGGUGAGUGGAACUGCGAGUGUAGAGGUGAAAUGCGUAGAUAUCUGGAGGAACACCGGUGGCGAAGGCGGCAUCCUGGACCGGCAUUGACGCUGAGGCGCGAAAGCUAGGGGAGCAAACGGGG
rnacentral:rRNA from 1 species